AUAAAAACAUUGAAAGAGAGAGUAAAUAUAAUGAGACUUUAAGAGAGAAAAGGUUAAUGGCUGGAAGCCUUUUUAAGUUUGAGUUAUAUUGAAGUUCACUCUGGAGUUCCAUUUGCGAAAUGUGAGUCUUACAAAUUAGUAAAUGGCGGUUACAUAUCGUUAAAAUUUUGAGUGGGUUAUCCAAUUUGGGUGGUACCGCGGAAAUUCUCCGUCCCUUUU
rnacentral:ncRNA from 1 species